rnacentral:lncRNA from 1 species
UCAAACUUACCCUAAGUUGAGAGUGCAUGAUCCCCUUUUCACUCCAUGUCUCCCUCCCUUGGCAAAACUUCAUACCUUGCCUUUAGUAGAGGUUCAUUGAACCUAGCCAUUGUUGACCAAACAAUCCUCCUCACUCCCAACCCCCCUGCCGUCCCUACCUCCCUUUCCUCUAAAUUUUCUCAUUUUCUCUCCAUACUCAUCUAUAUUAUCCAUUUUUCUAACCAUAAU